AAGGGCUUAUGACCAGACCUUUGCCUUGCGGAUCAUCCGGUGUUCUCACCGGUGCACUCCGCUUGGUUGAGGCCAGCAUCAGUUUUGGCGGCGGGAUAAAGACUUUAGGAAUGUGACUCCCCCGGGAGUGUUAUAGCCUACUGUGUAAUACCGCCACUGGGACUGAGGACCGCGCUUCGGCUAGGAUGCUGGCAUAAUGGUCAUCAGCCA
rnacentral:rRNA from 1 species